GACGAACGCUGGCGGCGUGCUUAACACAUGCAAGUCGAACGGAAAGGCGCCUUCGGGGGUGCUGGGGGGGGGAACGGGGGGGUAAGACGUGAGUAACCUGCCCUUGCCUUCGGGAUCACUUGGGGAAACUGGGGCUAGUACCGGUUAUGAAUCCUUGCCUCAGGGUGUGGGUUGGAGAGCUUCGGCGGUUUUGGAUGGACUCGGGGCUUAGCAGCUUGGUGGUUGGGUAGUGGCGUAGCAGGGCUGUGACGGGUAGCCGGCCUGAGAGGGCGACCGGCCACAGUGGGACUUAGAUACGGCCCAGACUCCUACGGGAGGCAGCAGUGGGGAAUAUUGCACAAUGGGCGGAAGCCUGAUGCAGCAACGCCGCGUGCGGGAUGACGGCCUUCGGGUUGGAAACCGCUUUCAGCAGGGGCGAAGCUUGUGGUGACGGUACCUGCAGAAGAAGCACCGGCUAACUACGUG
rnacentral:rRNA from 1 species